rnacentral:miRNA from 1 species
UGAUUGUGAGAUUCCCAAAUUG